GCAGUCGUGGCCGACUGGUUAAGGCGAUGGACUAGAAGUCAAUUGGGGUCUCCCCGCACAGGUUCGAAUCCUGGCGACUGCG
rnacentral:tRNA from 2 species